UGGGGAAUUUUCCGCAAUGGGCGAAAGCCUGACCCAGCCACGCCGCGUGAGUGAUGAAGGCCUUCGGGUCGUAAAGCUCUGUGGGGAGGGACGAAAAAGCGCAGUAGGAAAUGACUGCGCCUUGACGGUACCUCCUUAGCAAGCACCGGCUAACUCUGUGCCAGCAGCCGCGGUAAUACAGAGGGUGCGAACGUUGCUCGGAUUUACUGGGCGUAAAGCGCGUGUAGGCGGACUCGCAAGUCGGUUGUGAAAUCCCUGGGCUCAACCUAGGAACUGCAUCCGAAACUGCUUGUCUUGAGUAAUGGAGAGGGUGGCGGAAUUCCCGGUGUAGAGGUGAAAUUCGUAGAUAUCGGGAGGAACACCAGUGGCGAAGGCGGCCACCUGGACAUUCACUGACGCUGAGACGCGAAAGCGUGGGGAGCAAACAGGAUUAGAUACCCCUGUAGUCC
rnacentral:rRNA from 1 species